UCAGAAUAACUGCACUGUUUCUGAGAUUUUUUUCAUAUGGAUCAUGGAUAUAACUUGAUAACUAUAGCCAGUAAAGUGGGAGUUGAGAAUGCUGUUCAAGAUUUCAAAAGACUUCAGAGAGAGUGCUGGGUCCUGGAGCAGGAAUAGGGAGACUGACAUCUCUUGCUGAGCUGCUGUGGUCCAUACUGGAUGGAGAAGACAUCUGGAUGCUGCUCAUGUGCGGUCCAUAGCAAUCUGGCAGCAGUCCAUGGACAAAAGUAACUUUUCGGGAGCUAUGGAAUCCAGCAUCAUAUGCCAAAGGAUCUGGGAGAGGUCUCACUCACCUGUGCAUCAGGUAAUAGGCAUACAGACCUUGCUCCAGGCUGUGGAUCCUAAAGUAGCCCGUGAUCUAAUUCAGCCCCUCUCAGUCCAGGUCCAAGAUUCCCUGGAGAAUAUUGACUUAAUCACCCACAGAUGUGCAAGCCUUUGGGGAAAUCCAGUACACCAUUGGAGGAAAAAAAAUACCCAAGAUUGGACUCACUGGAAAAGACACGAGAAACUGUUUGACUUCAUCCAUGUCGCCCCUCCCUCAGUGUGGCACAGCUCACUGCCAGGGGAGCCUGUGAUUCCUCCCUUGAGGGAAAGUGAGAGCAUGAGAGCCAGUGCCUGGUCCCCCAGCUGAGCAGGAGGCCAUCAAAGAGACCCACUUCUUCUUUGGCCUCAUCCAGAGUAUUGAGUGGCAAGCUGGAUGGGGGACAGUGAGCAGACAGGAAAGUGUCAGUCAGGGCUCAAAAACACAUCAAAGGGAUGCAGAAGCUACCAGAACUCCAUUGAGACUCCUCCUGGCAGCCACUGGGAGGUACAUUCUGUGAACACUAGUCUACUGUCACAAAGCAUGCUUUUAAAUCAUAGAUUUAAAGACAUGACCACAGAGAGGAAGUCAUGGCAAUAAGAAGCCAAACUUGUUUGCUAAGAUAAGAGCUAGACCUGCUUGGCAGGCUUCGUUUUCUUUAUUGGAAAUAGUUUCAGACAGGUAAAUUGAAGGAAUUAGGGUACAUCUGGAUUUAUAAGGUAAUUGAAGAAAAUAUCCCAUGAAAUCCUUGUGGAUCAGAUGAAGAAUGUGGGCUGAUGUAAUAUAAUAGAGUUGUAUUUAUGAGUGGUUGAAUGACUGUACUACAGCAUAUGAAUAAAUAUAAAUAGAGAAUAAAGUCCCUGUUAGAAUAUGCCUUUAACUUUUACCUGCUCUCACAUGUUAAUAAGUAUUUGCUCAAGAGCACUGUGGCUUGAUUUUGAGCUAGCCAGCUAAUAUACUAGGGCGAGAAUUAGCUCCUUUAGGAUCCCAACAAGUUCUAAAAUAGACUGCAUGUAGAAAAAAUGGAAUUUCAUGGGACUAAAUGAAUAGUUAUGUAAAAUUACCAUGAAAGUCCCAACUAAUUAUGUAAGUAAUAUUUUUAAAAGUCAUACUUGGAGUUCCCAUUGUGGCUCAGCAGGUUAAGAACCUGACCACUCUCCA